AGAGUUUGAUCCUGGCUCAGAGCGAACGCUGGCGGCAGGCCUAACACAUGCAAGUCGAACGAUCCUUCGGGAUAGUGGCGGACGGGUGAGUAACACGUGGGAACGUGCCUUUUGGUUCGGAACAACUCAGGGAAACUUGAGCUAAUACCGAAUGUGCCCUUCGGGGGAAAGAUUUAUCGCCAUUAGAGCGGCCCGCGUCUGAUUAGCUAGUUGGUGAGGUAAUGGCUCACCAAGGCGACGAUCAGUAGCUGGUCUGAGAGGAUGAUCAGCCACACUGGGACUGAGACACGGCCCAGACUCCUACGGGAGGCAGCAGUGGGGAAUCUUGCGCAAUGGGCGAAAGCCUGACGCAGCCAUGCCGCGUGAAUGAUGAAGGUCUUAGGAUUGUAAAAUUCUUUCACCGGGGACGAUAAUGACGGGACCCGGAGAAGAAGCUGCGGCUAACUUCGUGCCAGCAGGCGCGGGAAUACGAAGGGGGCUAGC
rnacentral:rRNA from 1 species